rnacentral:rRNA from 1 species
CCUACGGGAGGCAGCAGUGGGGAAUAUUCCACAAUGGGCGAAAGUCUGACGCAGCGACGCCGCGUGAGGGAUGAAGGUCUUCGGAUCGUAAACCUCUGUUAGCAGGGAAGAACGGUCACUGUGCUAAUCAGCAUUGAAUUGACGGUACCUACAAAGGAAGUACCGGCUAACUCCGUGCCAGCAGCCGCGGUAAUACGGAGGGUGCGAGCGUUAAUCGGAUUUAUUGGGCGUAAAGCGCUCGUGGGCGGUAUGUUAAGUCAAGGGUGAAAUCCCUGGGCUCAACGGGGGAACUGCAUUUGAAACUGGUGAACUGGAGUGUGUGAGAGGAUAGUGGAAUUCCAGGUGUAGGAGUGAAAUCCGUAGAUAUCUGGAAGAACAGCAGUGGCGAAGGCGGCUAUCUGGCCCAUAACUGACGCUGAGGCGCGAAAGCGUGGGUAGCAAACAGGAUUAGAUACCCGGGUAGUC